UACGGAGGGUGCGAGCGUUAAUCGGAAUUACUGGGCGUAAAGCGUGCGUAGACGGUUAUUUAAGUCGGGUGUGAAAGCCCCGGGCUCAACCUGGGAAUUGCAUUCGAGACUGAAUAGCUAGGGUGCGGUAGAGGGAAGCGGAAUUUCCGGUGUAGCGGUGAAAUGCGUAGAUAUCGGAAGGAACAUCAGUGGCGAAAGCGGCUUCCUGGACCAGCACCGACGUCAGGCACGAAAGCGUCGGGGAGCAAACAGG
rnacentral:rRNA from 1 species